UCUGCUUUCUUGUGUUACAUUUUCCUAAAACACCUUUGACAUCUGUCCAAAAUCACACCUGGUACCACACGUACUCAUUUGCUUUUAGAUCUAGAAACAGUGCACCCACUUACAUUGCAAAAUUCAUGUUAUUCUCUGUUUUCGCUUCAAGUCGGUAAUUAAAAAACAACCUGGUUAUGGAGUAAAGAACCAGGACUGAGUUAUGCAUGUUCUGGAACAAUAUUCUUGCGCCACAGGCAGUUACACAAUGAGGAGUUAGGGUUGAAAGCAAUGAGCAGUCGUAGAUAUGGACUUCUUAUCUCUUGAACUCAUAUCUAUGUUGGGAUUAUAUUUGUCUAGUUUACAGUAGCCAUGAGUACCUUUCCAAGAGUAAAUUGACCUUAAUUUUAAAGUUGAAGUGUUUACUUUGGAUUUUUUCUGAGCAUAUUUUGUAAUUCUUAAAAAAUAUAACUGAUUAAAUUUGGGGCAUUAGUUAUUUGCAUAAAUAUGACUAACUGUAAGAAAGCAUUUAAUUACAAUCUGAUCACCGUAGAUUAUACUUAAGCCCCAAUAGCUUUAUACCUUAUUAGGUGUGUUGGAGUCGAAAUAAUGUAAUUUUGUGAUUGAUGUCCAGUUUCUACUCUCAGGGUUUUGCUUGGAUUCUGGGUACCUAAUCCACCUUUUGUGUAACCUUCUUGUGAUAAGAGUUUCCUUCUUGAAUUACUGCUAACAGUUUGCUAACUUUUCUAUACAGGUAAUGGGCUAGGAAUUAGAAUUGUUGGUGGUAAAGAAAUCCCUGGACACAGUGGAGAAAUUGGAGCCUAUAUUGCUAAGAUUCUUCCUGGGGGAAGUGCGGAACACACGGGGAAACUUAUGGAAGGGAUGCAAGUUUUGGAGUGGAAUGGGAUCCCCUUGACUUCUAAAACAUACGAAGAAGUACAGAGCAUCAUUAACCAACAAAGUGGGGAAGCAGAAAUAUGUGUAAGACUGGACCUCAAUAUGUUGUCGGAUUCUGAAAAUCCCCAGCAUCUGGAACUUCAUGAACCACCAAAAGUUGGUAGGUGACAGCAAUUUGAUUUCAACCGUGGAUAAAGAGGCACAUACAAAAGUAACCUGUUUUGACAUACACAAAGGCAGAAUUAUAGAUUUGUAUACAAGUGUAUGAUUGUGACACCAAAACUUUUUAGUUACAUUAUUAUCUUUCUGGUGAAGCAUGCUGCAUAUUUACCUGUUAGAGUAGGCAAGAAAUACAUUUUAAAUAUGUACUACAUAAAUUUGUGUUUUAAAUUACCUAAAUAUAAAUUGAUCUUGGGAAGGCAAUCCUUAAGCCAUUUCUUUUUAAUCAUGUAAUUUUUAGUUACUAAUUUUUUUUCAGCACAACUUGGCCUUUUGCUCUUGUUUUUACAAUGAUUCUGGGAAGUCUGACUUAUGGAAAUAGACUAGGUCCAAGAGAGACCACAUAUACAUACAUACAUACAUACAUACAUACAUACAUACAUACAUACAUGUCAUAUGCUCUGAAAUUUUCUUUAUAAAGAGACAAACAUA